rnacentral:ncRNA from 2 species
UAGUUCUUUCGGGGAAAGUGUUUAAUUCACAAUCGGUGGUAAACUCCACGAGGUGUAAAAGCCAUGAACUGGUGAAAAUCCGGUAGCGACCGUACAGUCGGGAUGAAAGAGAGAAUAU